CCUACGGGAGGCAGCAGUAGGGAAUCUUCCACAAUGGGCGAAAGCCUGAUGGAGCAACGCCGCGUGGGUGAAGAAGGUCUUCGGAUCGUAAAACCCUGUUGUUAGAGAAGAAAGUGCGUGAGAGUAACUGUUCACGUUUCGACGGUAUCUAACCAGAAAGCCACGGCUAACUACGUGCCAGCAGCCGCGGUAAUACGUAGGUGGCAAGCGUUAUCCGGAUUUAUUGGGCGUAAAGGGAACGCAGGCGGUCUUUUAAGUCUGAUGUGAAAGCCUUCGGCUUAACCGGAGUAGUGCAUUGGAAACUGGGAGAAUUGAGUGCAGAAGAGGAGAGUGGAACUCCAUGUGUAGCGGUGAAAUGUGUAGAUAUAUGGAGAACACCAGUGGCGAAAGCGGCUCUCUGGUCUGUAACUGACGCUGAGGUUCGAAAGCGUGGGUAGCAAACAGGAUUAGAUACCCGAGUAGUC
rnacentral:rRNA from 1 species